CAAUAGCGUAUAUUAAAGUUGUUGCGGUUAAAAAGCUCGUAGUUGGAUUUCUGCUGAGAACGACCGGUCCGCCCUCUGGGUGUGUAUCUGGCUCUUUCUUGGCAUCUUCUUGGUGAACGUUGCUGCACCUGACUGUGUGGAGCGCUACCCAGGACUUUUACUUUGAGGAAAUUAGAGUGUUUCAAGCAGGCAUACGCCUUGAAUACAUUAGCAUGGAAUAAUAAGAUAGGACCUCGGUUCUAUUUUGUUGGUUUCUAGAGCUGAGGUAAUGAUUAAUAGGGAUAGUUGGGGGCAUUCGUAUUUAACUGCCAGAGGUGAAAUUCUUGGAUUUGUUAAAGACGGACUACUGCGAAAGCAUUUGCCAAGGAUGUUUUCAUUG
rnacentral:rRNA from 1 species